AUUGAACGCUGGCGGCAUGCCUUACACAUGCAAGUCGAACGGUAACAGGUCUUCGGAUGCUGACGAGUGGCGAACGGGUGAGUAAUACAUCGGAACGUGCCUAGUAGUGGGGGAUAACUACUCGAAAGAGUGGCUAAUACCGCAUGAGAUCUACGGAUGAAAGCAGGGGAUCGCAAGACCUUGUGCUACUAGAGCGGCCGAUGGAAGAUUAGGUAGUUGGUGGGAUAAAAGCUUACCAAGCCGACGAACUGUAGCUGGUCUGAGAGGACGAUCAGCCACACUGGGACUGAGACACGGCCCAGACUCCUACGGGAGGCAGCAGUGGGGAAUUUUGGACAAUGGGCGCAAGCCUGAUUCAGCAAUGCCGCGUGCAGGAUGAAGGCCUUCGGGUUGUAAACUGCUUUUGUACGGAACGAAAAGCCCCGGGUUAAUACCCUGGGGUCAUGACGGUACCGUAAGAAUAAGCACCGGCUAACUACGUGCCAGCCGCCGCCGUAA
rnacentral:rRNA from 1 species